CCUUUACUUUGUAUCUUCGCAUUGCUUCUAGCAUUUUCUGGAACAUUUAAACUUCGGCGGAGGAGAAACGACCUUGGCAUUUUGAAAUCGAACUGAGAUUUCGCCCAAGACUAGAGCAGUGCAACAAUCGGGAAACUAUCGUUGAAAAACGCCUAUGAGAUGCUCAGAACACACAACAGUUCCGAAACAAGUCAGUUCAGG